rnacentral:rRNA from 1 species
GAUGAACGCUGGCGGCGUGCCUAAUACAUGCAAGUCGAGCGAACAGACGAGGAGCUUGCUCCUCUGACGUUAGCGGCGGACGGGUGAGUAACACGUGGAUAACCUACCUAUAAGACUGGGAUAACUUCGGGAAACCGGAGCUAAUACCGGAUAAUAUAUUGAACCGCAUGGUUCAAUAGUGAAAGACGGUUUUGCUGUCACUUAUAGAUGGACCCGCGCCGCAUUAGCUAGUUGCUAAGGUAACGGCUUACCAAGGCAACGAUGCGUAACCGACCUGAGAGGGUUAUCGGCCACACGGGAACUGAGGCACGGUCCAGGCUCCUACGGGAGGCAGCAGGAGGGUAUAGUCCGCGAUGGGCGAAAGCCUGACGGAGCAACGCCGCGUAGAUGAUGAAGAUCUUCGAAGCGAAAAACUCUGUUAUUAGGGAAAAACAAAUGUGUAAGUAACUAUACACGUCUUGACGGUACCUAAGCAGAAAGCCACGGCUAACUACGUG